UUUUGCAUGUACCUUAUGAAUAAGGACCGGCUAAUUCCGUGCCAGCAGCCGCGGUAAUACGGAAGGUCCGGGCGUUAUCCGGAUUUAUUGGGUUUAAAGGGAGCGUAGGCCGGAGAUUAAGCGUGUUGUGAAAUGUAGACGCUCAACGUCUGCACUGCAGCGCGAACUGGUUUCCUUGAGUACGCACAAAGUGGGCGGAAUUCGUGGUGUAGCGGUGAAAUGCUUAGAUAUCACGAAGAACUCCGAUUGCGAAGGCAGCUCACUGGAGCGCAACUGACGCUGAAGCUCGAAAGUGCGGGUAUCGAACAGGAUUAGAUACCCUGGUAGUCCGCACGGUAAACGAUGGAUGCCCGCUGUUGGUCUGAAUAGGUCAGCGGCCAAGCGAAAGCAUUAAGCAUCCCACCUGGGGAGUACGCCGGCAACGGUGAAACUCAAAGGAAUUGACGGGGGCCCGCACAAGCGGAGGAACAUGUGGUUUAAUUCGAUGAUACGCGAGGAACCUUACCCGGGCUUGAAUUGCAGAGGAAGGAUUUGGAGACAAUGACGCCCUUCGGGGUCUCUGUGAAGGUGCUGCAUGGUUGUCGUCAGCUCGUGCCGUGAGGUGUCGGCUUAAGUGCCAUAACGAGCGCAACCCCUCUCCUUAGUUGCCAUCAGGUCAAGCUGGGCACUCUGGGGACACUGCCACCGUAAGGUGUGAGGAAGGUGGGGAUGACGUCAAAUCAGCACGGCCCUUACGUCCGGGGCUACACACGUGUUACAAUGGCAGGUACAGAGAGAUGGUGUUCUGCAAAGCGCAUCUAAUCCUUAAAGCCUGUCUCAGUUCGGACUGGGGUCUGCAACCCGACCCCACGAAGCUGGAUUCGCUAGUAAUCGCGCAUCAGCCAUGGCGCGGUGAAUACGUUCCCGGGCCUUGUACACACCGCCCGUCAAGCCAUGAAAGCCGGGGGCGCCUAAAGUCCGUGACCGUAAGGAGCGGCCUAGGGCGAAACUGGUAAUUGGGGCUAAGUCGUAACAAGGUAGCCGUACCGGAAGGUGCGGCUGGAACACCUCCUUUCU
rnacentral:rRNA from 1 species